rnacentral:lncRNA from 1 species
AGCUGUCAUGCUCUUAGUCUGCUUCCCAGCCUUCCCUGUCUCACUGCGACAUCAUUAUCCACCAAGCUGCUAGAGCCAGGAGUGAUGGUAGCAUCCUUUCUCUUCUUUCCUCGGUUCAGUUAAGCAAUAAGAACUACUUUGAGAAAAUAAUCUAAAUAUUUCUAUUUCUCCCCAUUGUCAUGACUACCAAUUGUUUAAGGGUCUAGAACUUAGAACCAAUUGAAACAGAAGAUAUAGGAGAGAAUCACAUGGAGAUCAAAAUACCUUUACUAUGGCUAAAGCUGAUUGAAAAUCUUGGCAUAGAUAUGGAAUAAAUAUUAAUGUCUCCAAAAUCUUCUCAAAAUUUAUACUAUGGCACAAACAAGUUAAAUGUAGGUCUCUUCCUCACCAUCUAUCUUAGGUCUCUUUCUCAUAUUUUCCUCCAAUCUCUACUGCUGGGAAGGCGAGGGACAUGGAGGGGAGAGAUCACCUCAAGUAGGCACAGGAUUCAAAGAUGAGUGAAGCAUAGCAUCUUUCCUGCAUAAACAUUUAAAAAAGGAGAAAGUGAGAGAGAGGAGUCUUCCAUCCACUUCUAAAUAGAACAAAAUGAUAUCUCAGUGCCCUUAACUUUGAAACUGAAACAGAGCUUCUAGAUCAUCUCAAGAUUUUGCAGCUUUGGAGAAAGCAAGCUGUAGGACUCAUGGCAUAGUGAGCAGCAUUUUUGCCAUGAGCGUCUGCAUUAGGAAAAUCUGGAGACUGCCGUCUCAAAGGGCUCCUUGGGCCAUGGAUCACUGCUCAGGGGAUGGGAGGAGGCAAGUCUAGGAGGGCCUGCCUGUGAGCUCAGAAUUAUGAUGAAUCAAUGUGAUAAAGUGACCUCAUGGCUGAAUUAGGUUAUCACCCUUCUCGGAAUAGGUGACAUAAAUCAAGAUCUGAAAGAAGAGAUGGAACCAGCCACACAAAGACCUUGAAUCAAGUCAUUCCAGGCAGAGGGAGCAGCUAGUGCAAGGCACUAAAACAGGAAUAAACUGGCUGUGUCCAAGAAACAGCAAGAAGGUGGAGCACAGUGGGUGAGAGAGAAGCAUGAACAAGAUGAGACAGACUGGUAGGCAGGCAGCAGGGUUGUAUAGGGCUUACCAACCAGAUUAAGAAAUUGGGAUUUUAUUCAGGUGCAAUGGGAAUGCCUUAGAGUGUUUUAAAUAGAAUAAUGAUAUUAAUUUGAAUUAUUUUAUUUUAAAAAUAACUCUGCUUCUUUGGUGGGUGGAUUAUAGGAAAGCAAGCAAGGAAACACAGAACCAGUUGGGAGGUCUUUUAAUGGUUCACCCUAUAGGUAAUAACAGCCUGAACAAUGAUGUUUAUGGGAAACGUGGAGUAUAUAUAUAGGCUGUGGAUAUGCGUUUGAGG